ACAUUCUGUGCCUAGCCCAUGCUCAAAGGAUCUCUGUUGGCAGUCCCAGGGAAGGCUAAAGAGGACAUUUUGUAACCUGGGUCGGCUCCGAAAGACUUGGUUAGGAGGGGCUUGGGGGCUUCAAUCUGUUGAGACUUGUCUUGAAGCCAGUUUUUCAUGGCAAUCCCUACUGUUUUACUUGGAGUAUAGCAAUAUCUGGGGUAGGUGAGGCCAACUGCCCUGCAUGACCCUCAUUCAGCCAUUGCUUUGUAGAUCAUUGAUGACAAGCCAGGAUCUCACUGUAAGUCGGAGGACCCUCUUGGUGUGCAGCUCCUACAACCACUCUGUUGAGCCAGAUGGAAGAGACACGGGGAACAGUAACCUUCAUCCUUGCUGGUUGAUGAGAAAAGCAAGGCACAGUCCACCAGAGACUCCCAGCUAUAGAAGGGAUCAACUACAAACAAGGAGAGAGAACCAAAGGACUCUCAGUGUUAGGUGUGCAUGUGAUAAAGAAAAAAAGAAGAAAAAAAGAAAACAAUUCCAAAUCAAGAAAAAAAAUCCAUUGUGCCAAUUUCUCUUCUAUCAAGAACAGAUUAAAAAAAAAAUCAAAGUCCCAUCUGUUCUGUGUCAACAUUAGAGAUUGUACAUUGUGUUUCAUCAAAAGUAGGUUUGCCACGGUGGUGGGGGUUAUAUUUUUGGAACGUGCAUAGAAACCCAGAGUAACUAAACAGAACUUGGCCCUCCAGGCCCUCUCCUGCUGUCUGUGUUUGUGUUCUUCUAGCAGUUGAUGUUUUUAAUUGAUUUAUCUGACCAGGAGGACCCUGGAAAAAGACAAGCAGGUGAAGGCAGCUGCCUGGGCUUCUGGAACAAACACAGGCCUGCUGCACACUAGAGCCUGUGCGUGGUACCGGGCGGAGAAGACACCUGAUCUGAGGAACACCAUCUCAUCAGCAUGAGAGAUCGUGGAGUACGUACCACCGUGGCAAAUUUCAAGCUACAGAUGUGACAUCACAGAAUGCAAAGCUGGGAAGAGAUACGCACCAUUGUAUAGAGUCUCCAUCACAGAUGCAGUGGAUGGAAAUAAACUCAA